UAGAUGGACACAAUAUCUUUAUUUUUUUAUGUAGUGUGGCAAUUUGAACUCAGUGCCUGACACAUGAUAGGCAAGCGCUCUACUACUGAGCCACAACCCCAGCCCGAUUUCCUUGUGUUUGAGUCAAGAGAAUUAUUUAAAAGGUGUCAUGGCAAUAUGAGGGCCCAUGUAAACCACUGUGUCCAAAAUCAAGUAGCUAAAUAUAUUUUUCCUUUUUCCAAGAAGUCAAGGCUUUGAUAAUAUAUGGAAGCUCACGGAAUGCCAGAUGUCCUAUUAAUAGCCUUAUCAUAAUUGUUUUCAGCCCCAACCCCCACAGAGUCCAUCCAAGCAUGGAAUCUGCCUCAGGACAGAACAGGCCUCUAGGCAUAAAAUCAAACACUGUUAGAUUUAUCAGUUAUGCAGGUAAAGUGCUUCCCCUUCUGAGAGACAGGGUCCAAAUAAAUACAGGUAACUCCAACUCACUCAGGUAUAACCUUUCCUUUAUGGAAGGAAAAGCUUCAAGUUAGCAGUGGUUCAGAAUGGGCCUUUCACACCUGGAAGCCACGGUCUAGGAUUCAGUCUGGAAGUGUGGCGAUGUGUGUUGGGCCCACAUCACUUGUGUCACCUUCAACAGAAAAGUUCUGUGUCUACAAAUGUAAUGCUUUGGUCUGGAUGUGGUGGUGCACACCUGGAAUCCCAGCUCUUCUGGAGGGUGAAACAGGAGGAUCAAAAGUUUAAGAUCAGCUUACGCAACUUAGUGAGACCAUGUCUCAAAAUAAAUGAAUAGGACUGGGAUUGCAGCUCAGUGGUACAGCACCCCUGGCUUCAAUCCCCACAACCUGGAAAAAAACAAAAACAACAACAACAAAAAAAAA
rnacentral:lncRNA from 1 species